CCGGCCGCGUCAUCGGCAAAGGUGGCAAGACGGUGAACGAACUGCAGAACUUAACGAGCGCAGAGGUCAUCGUGCCGCGAGACCAAACCCCGGACGAGAACGAGGAGGUCAUCGUCAAAAUCAUUGGGCAUUUCUUCGCCAGCCAGACCGCCCAGCGCAAGAUCAGGGAAAUCGUGCAGCAGGUGAAGCAGCAGGAGCACAAACACGCUCAGGGAGCCGCGGCCUCGCAGCACAGCAAGUGAGGCUCCCGCCAGCAGCGCCCGACGAAUGUAACCCCGCCGCUGCCGGAGCCCAGCGGGCCAGGGGCCAACCAAAGACCCCCGAGCCCCCCGGCAGCGCAGAGCCGGGGCACGGGGGGCUCUCUCCACCCCGCAGCUUCCGCCUUACUCCAUCGCCUCCCCCCUCGGCAGCUGGACUAACGCAGGCAGAGAGAGGUGGUUUUUAUUUUGGAAUUCUCCCCAGACCUGCCCAUUCCACCCCGGGAGGAGCUCGCCCGGCCUGGGGCGGGGGGGUGCUGCGGCGCUGGUUAAUUUAGAAUUAAUAUAUCAGUAACGAAACUAACGCCGAUUUUUAAGUUUUGUAAGGUUUUAUUUUUUAACUCACUUUUUAAAAAUUUUUUUUUGGUGGGGGAGGGGGGAGGGGGCUGUUUGUUUUUAGCAAAAGCAGGCUUUUCUAGAGGUUUAACAGCAGGAGCUGGUUCAUUGGUUCUCUAAUGCACCGUAGAGCAGAGCUGUAGGAUCGCCAGCAGGGAAAAUAAUACUAAAUAACUGUUAAAGAGCAAUUUCUGAAGGGCUUUGAGAACAGCAGGGCCUGUAGGAGCCAAGAAGAUUCCUCGUGUAGGAAUUACUCCUCUCCUUCACACACCUUUUCCUCUUUGCUUUGGACUCCAAAAGAAGGGUUUGCAUCCGCUCUGUCCCGCCUUUCUGUCUGUCUGUCCUCUCUCCAUCACUGCCCAGCGCUUACAUCCCUGGAAAAUGAUGGGCAGCACCAGCCCUGCCCACUUCAGACUGGGAUCUUUGGGGAAAGAUCCCUGUUGCAGGGAGAGGAGGGGGAAAUGGGUGAAAAACAUGGAUUUACAAGAGGUUGUCAGCCUGGGGCUGGAAAACCCAACCAGCAAGAUUGGCUUCAAAUGAAAAAUAACCCAAAUAACCCUCCCAACACACACACACACAGAAAAACUACCUCAGGUUUUCAUACCUCAGCACCUUGCGCUUGUGUUGCCCUUUUAGAGAUUUUUUGUAUGCCUUGUAAAACUGAUAGUUGGAGCAUUUUUUUUAUUUUUGUAAUAAAAAAAAAACGAGUUGGAAAAAUGAUCUCGACCAAGUCAGCUGCGAGGUGGAAGAAGGAAACCAACCCCCGUGUCCCAGAGCUCUUCCGUAGUCUCCUGCAAGCCGAGAGCCAGUGGCUGUUCCUUCGGAGAAAGCUUGAGAAGUGGUUAAAAAGAAAAGAAGAAAAAAGGGGGAAAAAAAAAAAAAAGCCAAACACACACACACAAAAAAAAGGGUUGAAGCAAAUCCAAGUGAUGGGUGGAAGUGGUGAAAGCCGACGGGCAAGAGCAGGGAUGGGAGCGGAGGUGCCGGUGCCAGCACCGCUCCCGUGGGCUGCGGAUCCGUGUUUUCCUCUACUGCAAAGUGUUCUGUGAAAACCAACCCGAGACACCGACAGAAAAAAAAAGAGAAAUAUAUCCAGCUAACCAGA